UGAAUACGAGAUGCUACGGCGUCGAAGCAGUCUAUGUCAUACUUCCAAGAAAAGCUUGCACUGUCAUAAACAAAUAAUGCCUGUACCAUAACCGACACAGGUGGGUAGGUAGAGUAUACUAAGGGGCGCGAGAUAACUCUCUCUAAGGAACUCGGCAAAAUGACUCCGUAACUUCGGGAGAAGGAGUGCCUUAUUUAUAAGGUUGCAAUAACAAGACCCAAGCAACUGUUUAUCAAAAACACAGGUCUCCGCUAAGUCGUAAGACGAUGUAUGGGGGCUGACGCCUGCCCAGUGCCAGAAGGUUAAAGAAGUUGGUUAGCAUUAGCGAAGCUGAUGACUGAAGCCCUGGUGAACGGCGGCCGUAACGAUAACGGUCCUAAGGUAGCGAAAUUCCUUGUCGGGUAAGUUCCGACCCGCACGAAAGGCGUAAUGAUUUGGGUACUGUCUCAGAGAGGGACUCGGUGAAAUAGACUUGUCUGUGAAGAUGCGGACUACCUGCACCUGGACAGAAAGACCCUAUGAAGCUUUACUGUAACCUGAAAUUGAAAUUGGACUUUAUUUGCGCAGUAUAGGUGGGAGGCUUUGAAGAUAUUCUUGCGGGAAUGUUGGAGCCAUCAGUGAGAUACCACUCUUGUAAUGUUAGAUUUCUAACUUUGUAUCAUUAUCUGGUCAAAGAACAGUUUCAGGCGGGCAGUUUGACUGUGCGGUCGCCUCCUAAACGGUAACGGAGGCGCACAAAGGUUUCCUCUGAACGGGUAGAAAUCGUAUCUAGAGUGUAAAGGCAUAAGGAAGCUUGACUGUGAGACCUACAAGUCGAGCAGGGACGAAAGUCGGUCUUAGUGAUCUGACGGUGCUGAGUGGAAAGGCCGUCACUCAACGGAUAAAAGUUACUCUAAGGAUAACAGGCUGAUCUCCCCCAAGAGUUCACAUCGACGGGGAGGUUUGGCACCUCGAUGUCGGCUCAUCGCAUCCUGGGGCGGUAGUACGUCCCAAGGGUUGGGCUGUUCGCCCAUGAAAGCGGUACGCGAGCUGGGUUCAGAACGUCGUGGGACAGUUCGGUCCAUAUCCGGUGUAGGCGUUAGAAUAUUGAGAGGAGCCUUCUCAAGUACGAGAGGACCGAGAAGGACACACCUCUGGUGUACCAGUCAUCGUGCCAAAGGUAAACGCUGGGUAGCUAUGUGUGGAGCGGAUAACCGCUGAAAGCAUCUAAGUGGGAAGCCCACCUCAAGAUAAGUAUUCUCAC
rnacentral:rRNA from 1 species